GAUGAACGCUAGCUACAGGCUUAACACAUGCAAGUCGAGGGGUAGCAGGGUAGCAAUACCGCUGACGACCGGCGCACGGGUGAGUAACACGUAUCCAACCUUCCCAUAACUCGGGGAUAGCCUUUCGAAAGAAAGAUUAAUACCCGAUAGUACUUUUUCAAGGCAUCUUGAGAAAGUUAAAGAUUUAUUGGUUAUGGAUGGGGAUGCGUUCCAUUAGAUAGUUGGCGAGGUAACGGCUCACCAAGUCUUCGAUGGAUAGGGGUUCUGAGAGGAAGGUCCCCCACAUUGGUACUGAGACACGGACCAAACUCCUACGGGAGGCAGCAGUGAGGAAUAUUGGUCAAUGGGCGAGAGCCUGAACCAGCCAAGUAGCGUGAAGGAUGAAGGUCCUAUGGAUUGUAAACUUCUUUUAUAGUAGAAUAAAGUGAUCCACGUGUGGAUUUUUGUAUGUAUACUAUGAAUAAGGAUCGGCUAACUCCGUGCCAGCCGCCGCCGUAAAAC
rnacentral:rRNA from 1 species